AAAAUAGCAGAAAUGAUUUAAUGUCUCCACUUGAAAGAAAUAUUUAUAUCAUUUAUUAAUAUUUAUUAUUACUAAUAUUGUCACGGCGCAGGCUCGAACCCGCUUUUCUCCCGCAGCUGGGUCUGCCAGCACCUCCGUUGGCAGCGCGCCAAGACACGCCCCUGCUCACACUGGCCGCAUCACGCCCAAAUGCCGGCAAGGCUGUGGGCGAUCAGCAAUCAGCACACCUGGGACUGAUGAGGGCGAGCGGUAUAUAGACCAGUGGAACCAAGGAUCCUUGCCAGAACUUAAUCUUCUGUUACCUUUCGCUUCCCGUGUUCUCCUGCGAUCCCCUGUUGUUCCCUCUGGUUCUUUGGCUGCCCCUUUUGGAUUCUCCACCUCCUGCUUGGACACGGACCUCUGACGCCUCACCAUUCGCCCUGACCAUCUGCCUGCCCCACGGACUGCCUUCUUGCCUUGUCCCUCCUCUCGAUUCAACACUACGGUGCGUCUUCUCUUCGCUGCUGCCAAACUUCUACUGGCUUAUAUGCUGAUGACUGCAUGCUUGCAGCUGGGCACAGCUGCCAUCUAGUGCACAUCUGGAGCAUCUGGGCCCUGCCUAUAGCUAGUUUUAUGAGUUGAUAACGGAGUUCAACACCCGACAGGAGUCAACAAAUACAGACGAUAAGCACCAUCAAAUGAUCCGAUGUGUCAAAUGUUGGCGCCGCUGCCUCACGCAAUGUAGGAAAGGACGGGGAGAUCUGCACUGUACACACACGUCAAUAAUGGAAAUGAGCAAUAGAAUAGUGCUAUAAAGUGUUUACAUUUAUUGACACUCAUUUUGUCAGUGGCUUUUUGUAUGGUGCAAUAUGCAUUGGCACAUAACAGUGCCACCUGCUGGAUGUUGUGGCAACUUCCUGACUUUUUAGAGGAGGCUCACCCGAGAUCAAGUGUGCAUAGUAGCACUUAUUCUUGUUAUCAUAUGAUAUGUUAUGUUACCAUGUUUUAUGAUAUGUUACAAUAUGUUAUGUUGUUUAGAUUGAUUGAUUGAGACUUGUAUUAGUAGAUUUCACAGUACAGUACAUAAUCCGUACAAUUGACCACUAAAUGGUAACACCCCAAUAAGUUUUUCAACUUGUUUAAGUCCACGUUAAUCAAUUCAUGUGUUAUGAGUUAUGAUAAGUUGUGCUGUGCUGUGCUAUAUUAUGCUAUGCCAUUCUCUGCUGCGUUAUUCUACACUAUACUGUCAGGUUCCGUGCUACACUAUGCUAUGUUACGCUUGUGUGAUGACUGUAUUAUGAUGAUAGUAUAUAUCUGUAUCAUGAAUCAAUUUAAGUGGAGAAAAACUUAUUCAAAAAUCUACUACUGGAGUAGUAGAUUUUUGUAAAAAGCUUUUAUAAUUGUAAAGGACAAUGUUUUAUCAACUGAUUGCAAUAAUGUAAAUUUGUUUCAACUAUUAAAUGAUUAAUUUAUCUUUGUGAAAAUAUUGGACACAGUGUGUUGUCAAGCUUAUUAGAUGCGAUGCAAGUGUAAGCCACUGUGACACUAUAGUUCUUUUUUUAUAAAUGUCUAAU